rnacentral:rRNA from 1 species
AGAGUUUGAUCCUGGCUCAGGAUAAACGCUGGCGGCGUGCUUUAAGCAUGUAAGUCGCACGGAUCCGCGCAAGCGGGUCAGUGGCAGACGGCUGAGGAAGACGGAAGAAACCUGCCCCUCGGAGGGGGAUAACUCCGCGAAAGCGGGGCUAAGACCGCGUACGCUCGAGUGGGGGAGAACCAGUCGAGGAAAACGGGAACGUGCCGAGGGAGGGGCUUCCGGCCCAUCAGGUCGUUGGUGGGGUAACGGCUCACCAAGCCGAUGACGGGUUGCUGGUCUGAGAGGAUGACCAGCCAGACUGGGACUGAGACACGGCCCAGACUCCUACGGGAGGCAGCAGCUAGGAAUCUUGCGCAAUGGGCGAAAGCCUGACGCAGCGACGCCGCGUGGGGGACGACGGUCUUCGGAUUGUAAACCCCUUUUGGGUGGGACGAGGUAGGACGGUACCACCCGAAGAAGCCCCGGCUAACUACGUGCCAGCAGCCGCGGUAAUACGUAGGGGGCGAGCGUUGUCCGGAUUUACUGGGCGUAAAGAGCGCGUAGGUGGUCGGGUAGGUUGGUGGGGAAAGGUUGGGGCUCAACCCCAACAGGUCCACCAAGACCGCGCGACUGCGAGGGCAGUAGAGGAAGGUGGAAUUCCGGGUGUAGUGGUGAAAUGCGUAGAGAUCCGGAGGAACACCGGUGGCGAAGGCGGCCUUCUGGGCUGUCCCUGACACUGAGGCGCGAAAGCGUGGGGAGCGAACUGAAUUAGAUACUCAGGUAGUCCACGCCCUCAACGAUGGACACUAGGUGUGGGGGGUAUCGACCCCUCCCGUGCCGGAGCUAACGCAGUAAGUGUCCCGCCUGGGGAGUACGGCCGCAAGGCUAAAACUCAAAGGAAUUGACGG